rnacentral:lncRNA from 1 species
UUUCGUACACAAUCAGAACUCAAUAUUACCAAAAUAAUCAUGAACAGCUCAAAAAUACCAAAAUUAUAUGAAAGUCUAAGAUUUCAAAUUAAUCUAAACACAGUCACAUUUAACAACAACACUUCAUGAAUCACGAAUCAGUGCUCAUUUAGGGUCUCAAAAUCAUACGAAGCAUGCAUACAGACAUAAACAUCAAAUUAAAAAUAAGAACGAAACUAGUCCCAAUUUAGGGAAUCCAGAUAAGCAAAUAAGCAAUGCAAUCGAGUCAAAAUUCAGAGGAAACCAUCAUUGUCAUUGAUUGAGAAUAUUCUUAAGAAAAAGAUUAACACGAGAAUUAAACGAGAAAAAAAUCCGAGAAGGAUUCCGUAGAUCCGUCGUGUAUUUGAGAAUUUUUGACGACAUUUGUUCGGAAAUGGCAGUGACGAUUGGCAUCGAAUGUUGUGAUAGUUAUUUCGUUGGGGGCAGCGGCUGUUUCGAUGGAGAGGCGGGGGUGGUGACUGGCGAUGAUUCUUGGUGGAGUCGCCGCUGGAGGAGGAGAGAGAAGGCGGCGCCGGCGCUGGUUCGGGGAGAGGCGGCAGCGGUUUUUGACGGCUGGUGGUCGCUUUUGUCGGUGAUGGACUUGCCGAUGACGGAUUUAUCCCACGAUGAGAGAUGGAUAACGAAGGAGGGGUGGCGUCGGAGAUGGUGGCCUCUCCGGUGAGAGGCCACGGGUUAGCCUGGGUUGGUUCGCCGCUGUUGAUUGCGGUAGCGGCGGCGCGACUGCGGAGAGGAAAAAGGAGGCUGGUUUAGCGUGGUUUGGUGGUUGUGAGGAGACGAAGAUGACGGCGAAUGUGAUGUCGGAAGGGGAAGAGCAUCCCGCCGACGGCAGCACUCAUCCGGAGCGGCGGCGGUGGCUGAUCUUUUUAGAGAGAGAGAAGAGAGAAAGGGAGAGAGAGAAAGGGAGAUGGAGGCUUAUUGUGAAAAAUUGAGUUUAAGGUUUUGUUAUGAUUUAAAAGAAAAGGAGUUGGAAAUUUAAUCUCUGGAUCAAUUUUUAAAAAUUUGAUCUCAAUUAUUGGAUCGAUUUUAAUUAAUGAAUGAGAUUAAAAUUAUUUAAAGAGUGUUAAAAGUCAAAAUUAACAUCAAAUUGAUUAAAAUUGACAUUAGUUGAAUACAAACUGGC